rnacentral:rRNA from 1 species
CCCUUAGAUGUUCUGGGCUGCACCCGUGCUACACUGGCAGGUUCAGCGAGCUUCAUGCCCUGAUCUGAAAGGAAUGGGAAAUCUUUUCAAAACCUGCCGUGCUUGGGAUAGAUGUUUGCAAUUAUUCAUCUUCAACGAGGAUUGCCUUGUAAGCGCACGUCAUCAGCGUGCAUUGAAUACGACCCUGUAUUCUGUACACACCGCCCGUCGCUCCUACCGAUUGAGUGGUCCGGUGAGGCUUUGGGAUCUGAGCGGAAAGAGCGUUUCGCUGUUUCUGCUCGGAAAACUCAGUCGAACCUUAUCAUUUAGAGGAAGGAGAAGUCGUAACA